rnacentral:rRNA from 1 species
AUUGAACGCUGGCGGCAGGCCUAACACAUGCAAGUCGAACGGUAACAGAAAGCAGCUUGCUGCUUUGCUGACGAGUGGCGGACGGGUGAGUAAUGUCUGGGAAACUGCCUGAUGGAGGGGGAUAACUACUGGAAACGGUAGCUAAUACCGCAUAACGUCGCAAGACCAAAGAGGGGGACCUUCGGGCCUCUUGCCAUCGGAUGUGCCCAGAUGGGAUUAGCUAGUAGGUGGGGUAACGGCUCACCUAGGCGACGAUCCCUAGCUGGUCUGAGAGGAUGACCAGCCACACUGGAACUGAGACACGGUCCAGACUCCUACGGGAGGCAGCAGUGGGGAAUAUUGCAAAAUGGGCGCAAGCCUGAUGCAGCCAUGCCGCGUGUAUGAAGAAGGCCUUCGGGUUGUAAAGUACUUUCAGCGGGGAGGAAGGGAGUAAAGUUAAUACCUUUGCUCAUUGACGUUACCAGCAGAAGAAGCACCGGCUAACUCCGU